UUCCCUCAAAUGAAAACGAUGUCGUUCUGCUAAAACCCUACAAAGGUCUCUGGCUUGAUCUGGAAGCGGAUGGUUUAGGGGUUUGAGUUGCAGAAUUGCCUUUUUGAAUCUCUGGUUGAUUUCAUUACCAUCUACACAAAAAUUCUACAUUUUCAAGAACGAGCAAGCAUGGCCUCGUCUCCAAAACCCAGUCUUUUUAGCGGAGAAAACUAUGGCUUCGUACUACGCCAACCACUGCAACACCUCUUAGAUGAAACCCACAAAGGAGACCAAAAAUUUAUCAUUUCGUGAUGUUCUACCAAUUAAUGCAGUCUAUCUGGGAUGCUCUGCUUUUUUCCUUCAGGAGCUGGAAGACAACAAAAUAGGACCUUUCAGAUCAUAUUUUGAUGGCAAAAGGAGCUGUUUCUACUUAUAUCCGGAUCUUCAACAACAGUGUAGUGCUUCGAAAAGCAUAGCAUUGUUAACUUCGGUUGCUUUCCGUUUAUAAAUUGGUUGCUGAGUUGUUGUGCAAAGAUUUGGGAGCUAGAAGAGUGGAGAAAGCCGCUAAAGAGGUUAAGUCUUUGAUUGGUGUGAUUCUUGGAGAUUUAACUGUGUGUUGGAACAAGGAUAUGAGCAAAUGAAAGUUAUUCAAAUUUAAUUAUCGUUCUAAAUUAUGGCUAGUGUCUGGACGGAUGGGAACUAGCUUCAAGGCUUUUUUACCAGUCACGAGUGAUGAAAUAUGUGAAGAGAUUAGUGUUAGAGCUUCACCUGUGAUAUUCUUAGCUAGGUCUUCUUGUUCAAACUGUUCUUGGAUUUAUCAAUGGGGAAUCGGGGAUUGGAGUUGAAAAGGAGCUAAAAGUUUGGCUUGGUAACUAAGUUGCGAGCUUCUUCUUCUUCGGUUUAGUAUUGCUUAAUCUUUAAGUUUGAAUUUUGAGUUAUUUGUUAGAAACUGGUAAAAAAUGAUGUUGGACAUAGAAUUUAAAUCAAACUGAAAUGUAGAUUUGUGUACGUUUGAAUGGAAAAAGAGGAGUUCUGUUGCUCAGAUGGCAUUAGCUCUAUCUAGUUUGUUCAAGUAAUGCAGUUAAGGAACGUAGAAAUGAAUAUUUUUGGUGUUACUUUCACUGGCUUUUUUUUUAUGUGCUUGCAUCAUGAUAAACGAUAACAUUCCCUUGACAGAAUGCUCUGGAGCGAACCUUACCAGUAAUUUUACUGUUGAUACUCUUUCCUCAGUCUUCAGAAAGCAAUCAACUGACCUGGAAAUUGUGUGAAAGAUCUUGCCGUGAAAAGAUUGAUCCCUUCAUAACAUUCCAUAGAGCUUUUCAGGAAAAAUAGGGACCAAAAGAGAGCUAUUGCUCAUACUAGUUUAUUCUCCAGUUCCCAGUUACCAUCCCAAAUUAUAGUGCAAGUAUAUUGAAGGGAGCAUUACCUAGGGCUCUUAUAAGUUAGUUAUUAUAUAUUUCUCUUUGUUAUAGAUAUUUGCAUCUUGUAGUUCUUGCUUUAAAUCAAAUUUGUUCCAGUAUCGUAUUUUUCAUGCUAACCUCAUAUCAUUCUCCAGAGUGGUUACUAAACCUUGAUGAUCAAGGCAUAAAUCUAUUUGAUGAUAACAUCCCCAAGUUCCAUGUCAAAUUGGCUCUUGAUUGCAAGUCCUGACUAUGUACAACCAGCAUUUAAACCAGAAGGAUAGAAAGCAGAUGUUAAUCUUCUGUUUUGCAUUGAUAACAGAGGAGAACAGGAAAAUCAUGAUGAGGUUGAUAAAGAGAUAAAUGGGUCCAUGAGAAGCUGCUGCACAAACUAUGAGAUCGACAGAAUAUGGAGGAAGAGUGAAGAAGAGAGGAUUGAUGGAACGAGGAAAAAGUUUAAGGUUCUUGAGCAUAACAUUUCCAACAAUUUUGAUUCAGAUGGAUGGAGGUUUUCAUAUGUCAGAGUUGAUGGUUUAGGGUAGCAAGAGAGAAGUUGAGAAUCCAAUCUCUGAUGAAGAUGUUUGAAUGAAGUGGCCAUGUGUUCCCUUGAAGGGAAAAUAUGGCAUUGGCAACUGUGUUAUACUCAUUUGACUUCGGUUCAAAAUCAAUGUUCAACUGUGCGCCAGAAUUUGCUGAGAUACUUCUUGCCCUUGUAAAGGAUUUGAAAUUGUAAUUUUGACGUUCAUGAACAGAUAAUCUUGGAGUUUGCAAAAGGCACUGAUGCAUCUUUUCUUUACAAUAGUUUACAUCACUCUCUUCUAGAAAGCAAUUGCUGUUAUUUGUCGCUCAAGAAUAUCAAUGAAGGAUAACGAAGGAUACAAUUCCCUGAGGAACUUUGGCAAUCAAGUUAUUAUCUGAAAUGUCUUCCCUUUCUCUGAAUAUUCCUUGGAGCAAUUUCUCUACAAAUAAGGUGCCCUUAGGCUGUGAAAUACAAUCUGAUUCAUUUGUAUAUAUUUAGAUCCAUGGAGUUCUGUUUUUUUCAGCUAACCAAUAUGCUUGUUUCUGGUCUAUAUGACAUGAUUAAAAUGUUACAAAUGUGUUUGUACCUUUAUACGAUGAUAUGCUAUGAAAAUUAAUUUGUGC